rnacentral:lncRNA from 1 species
GGACACAUGCCGGGUAGCCUGAGUAUGACGCCAGUACUUCUGGAAGGACAUAAAGAAUACUUUAGGUUGGAGACUCUAAAGGAUGCUGGGCAGAGGGUCAGGGCUGAAGCUUCAAGCAGCAAAAUUUCCAACUCAAGUUUGUGGUGUCUAAGGAUAUUCCUGCCACCAGAACGCUGCUUCCUUCCCUCUCCUGUGUCCUACAGGUGCAAGCCCUGUAAUCCAGCUUGCCUGAUUUCUCUGUUCUGUCACGCCAGAAGCAUUGGCAGGUUGGUGAGGGUCCUGAGGUGCUCUGGCCACAGGUACCAUCCAUAGCUCCAACUCAUGUGACCAAAGGGAACCACCCAGAUGUGGUCCAGGGGCGUCUCCAUCAUCUGCCCACGGGCCUCCUUACUUGAGCAGGGAGAUGUCAUCAGCAAAGUCAUCGUGCUGGUGGCGCAGGCAACGCAGGCAGCGCCACUGACAUACCAUGAGGCAGAGUGGCAACAUGAAGAGGGCGCAGAUGGCCGCCAUGACAUAGGCUAUGGUCAUAAGUGUUGACUCAUCUGUCUGGGGAAUGUUGUAGCCACAGUCUUCCAUGUCUGCCGUAACAAACGGACCUUCCACUGCCGCCGUCCUGAACUCAUCGUGCACUGGAGAGAGGGUGGAGAUGAACCGGUAGCUCUUACUGUCAUAGAGUAGCUUAGGUUAUACAAUUAAAAGAGCUUCCUGACAGGGGCCCCUUGGGAUCCACCCAAGUGAGACUGCAGAGCCCAACUUGGACAGAGCGAGCAGUAGGCAGGGAAGCUAGUACUGAGGGAGGCUGUUUCUCCUUCCAGGGCCUCGGGAACUGGACUGCAAGCCUCUCCCAUUCUCACAUCCAGUAGAGGUGAUAUCAAAGUCAACAGUUCCAAGUUGACCAAAAUCUAGCUCCUUCCACACAUAGCAGACUUACCUGUCUUCAUGAAAAUGCAACCACAAAGCCCUGGCCCUUUUCUGCAGUAGUACUCAGCUUUACUGUGGGCGGGCAGCCACCCUUGCAGCUAGUAUUUCCAAGUGCCUGGGAAGCUCGAGCUGCUAUCAGUUUCCAAUAGUGCUUUCCCCACCAGGCGUGUUCACCAGAGCAAGCCUUAGCCCUAGCUCUCACACAUGGUUGAUUAGCCAGAGGCAGCUACUACUACCUCCCAAACAAAGAGAUCUGGGUAUUAGCAGCUGACAGCAAGAACAUGAGCUGACUGACCCCACACCCUCCUCACCAUGGCAAGCGCUGACAGCAAAGCCAAUUCGCUUUCGGGCUCGAUCGAAGACGACAUAGAAACCUUCCAUGAUGACGGCUCCCAUAACAGUGCCCGUGGAUGACUGUGAGACAGCGAACUUGUAACAGUCGUCUUGGGACGUGGCCACGUCCUCCACCGGCCGUAGGUAUUGCUAGGGGUAAACAGUCACAGGGUGAGAGCAUGUCUGAUUCUUCCUGCCUUCCUCUGCCUUUUAGUCUCCUACACUCUUCCUCAAGCCCCAAGAUGUGGAUUCUUCUGAGACCCCUUUACCACCACACAUUCGUUUCAUCUUUCAAGUUGUAGCAAGCUAUGUCUCUUUACAUACUUUGUCUGCUGCUUGGCACCCCACUGUCUCAGCUUGGGGACAUACCUGAGGAAGGAUGGUGAUGCGGAAGGACUGAUUGGUGACUUCACCCAUGAGGUAAAGUGAAAUGACUGGGAAAAUGUUCCAAGGGGUCGUGCCUGCUUGCCAGCACACCAGCUGCUCCCCUAGCCAAAAGCCAUCCGGGAACUUCUCCGUCUGUUGACAAGAGAGGAAUGUGAAGCCUCGGCCUAUCCCACCAUGUCUUCUCUGUGUUCAGAACCACAGUGACAGUACCACUGUGUGCUUUUCCAGGGAAUUUUCCAAAGUAGCAAAGGUAAACUGAAGUCUACGGAUCAGGAGGAGAAAGUGAGAUACUGGCCUCAUAAAGCUGUGAGUGGGCAUGGUGGCUCACACUGCCUGUGGUCCCAGAACUUAGAAGGCUAAGGCAUGAAGUUGUCAAGUUCAAUGCUAACCUGGGCUACGUUCAUGACCCCAUCUC